rnacentral:piRNA from 1 species
UUUCUUUUCGAAAGGUAUUUC